GAUGAACGCUAGCUACAGGCUUAACACAUGCAAGUCGCGGGGCAGCAUGGGGGUUGCUUGCAAUCCCCGAUGGCGACCGGCGCACGGGUGAGUAACGCGUAUCCAACCUGCCCUUCACCACGGGAUAACCCGGCGAAAGUCGGACUAAUACCGUAUGCUGUCCAUUGACGGCAUCCGAUUUGGACGAAAGGUUUGGCGGUGAAGGAUGGGGAUGCGUCCGAUUAGCUGGACGGCGGGGUGACGGCCCACCGUGGCGACGAUCGGUAGGGGUUCUGAGAGGAAGGUCCCCCACACUGGAACUGAGACACGGUCCAGACUCCUACGGGAGGCAGCAGUGAGGAAUAUUGGUCAAUGGGCGUAAGCCUGAACCAGCCAAGUAGCGUGCAGGAUGACGGCCCUAUGGGUUGUAAACUGCUUUUAUGCGGGGAUAAAGUGGCCCACGUGUGGGUUUUUGCAGGUACCGCAUGAAUAAGGACCGGCUAAUUCCGU
rnacentral:rRNA from 1 species